rnacentral:rRNA from 1 species
AUUGAACGCUGGCGGCGUGCUUAACACAUGCAAGUCGAUCGGUAACGCGGGGGCAACCCUGGCGACGAGAGGCGGACGGGUGAGGAACGCUUGGGAAUCUGCCUAUCAGCGGGGGACAACACGGGGAAACUCGUGCUAAUACCGCAUACGCUCUACGGAGGAAAGCCGGGGACCGCAAGGCCUGGCACUGAUAGAUGAGCCCAAGCCGGAUUAGCUAGUUGGCGGGGUAACGGCCCACCAAGGCGACGAUCCGUAGCCGGUCUGAGAGGACGAUCAGCCACACUGGAACUGAGACACGGUCCAGAGUCCUACGGGAGGCAGCAGUGGGGAAUUUUGCGCAAUGGGGGAAACCCUGACGCAGCAACGCCGCGUGAGUGAUGAAGGCCUUCGGGUCGUAAAGCUCUGUCAGAGGGGAAGAAAUGACGAGUCGCUAAUACCGGCUCUUCUUGACGGUACCCUCAAAGGAAGCACCGGCUAACUCCGUGCCAGCAGCCGCCGUAACAC